CAAAUUAAAGCUUAUAUAAGUUAAGUUUUUUAUUUACAUUAAAAGGAGUUCGUGCAAUUCGAAAUAAUUUGA
rnacentral:tRNA from 2 species